UACGUAGGGUGCGAGCGUUGUCCGGAAUUAUUGGGCGUAAAGGGCUCGUAGGCGGUCUGUCGCGUCGGGAGUGAAAACCAGGUGCUUAACACCUGGCCUGCUUUCGAUACGGGCAGACUAGAGGUACUCAGGGGAGAAUGGAAUUCCUGGUGUAGCGGUGAAAUGCGCAGAUAUCAGGAGGAGCACCGGUGGCGAAGGCGGUUCUCUGGGCCGAUAUGACGCUGAGGAGCGAAAGCGUGGGGAGCGAACAGG
rnacentral:rRNA from 1 species